UACGGCCAUAUCACGUUGAAACACCAGUUAUCGUGCGAUCAUCAAAUUUAAGCAACAUUUAGCCUGGUUAGCACCUAGAUGGGGGACCGCUUGAGAAUACGAGAUGUUGUAU